UUUAAUUUUAUUUUCUUCCUGCUCAAGAUGUCUUAAGACUAAGACUUCAUUGGGCCAACAUCAAUUCACUCUUAGAAUUCAGCCCAUGGGAAUCAUGCCCUUGGGAACAUGUUUCUCACCUCUUCAAUCCCAGAUAGACGCACAGCCUCUACUUUCUCAUAGUGCUCUGAACAGAACUUUAUUAAGGCACUUUUCACAUCAAAUUUUCUUGUUAUCUUUCUCUUCCUAAGGUUGUGACUUCCUUAAAGCCCUGGGGAGUUUCCUUGGUUUCCAGAGUGAUGCCCAGAGAAUAUGUAUUUGGUAAAUAUCUAGUCUGCGAAUCUAAGAAUGAAUACAUUUUGUGGGUCUGUGGUCUUCUAUCAGUUCCCCGAUGCUCCCAAGAACACCUCAGUGAUGCCGUAAAGAGCGAAAUAUCUUCUUUUAAACAAAAGCCUGGCGCUCUCUCUCCACAAGGAUGGCUUUCCCAGUUCCCAAUUACAACAGUAACAGACGCGUCCAGUUACGUAUACGAUAUAUCCCCGGGGAUAAGCACUCGAUAUAGAUCCACUUUGGGGUGUAUUUACUGAGAAAAACCUCACCCAUCGGCCCAGGAGUAUUUGCCCCAGCUUCUGAGCCAUCAGAAUUGGAGCAAGAUAUUUAUCAGCAAACUCAGCAUUAUCAUUUUUGGAUUUUAGGGUAUAAACUGGUGAGUAUCUGGCAAAGGUUUAGCUGAAACUUCCUAUUCUGUCCCGGAGGCCGCUUGUCAACUGGGCAUUAUCUCUGAGUCUCUGCAUUU
ensembl:lncRNA